UACGUAGGGUGCGAGCGUUGUCCGGAAUUAUUGGGCGUAAAGAGCUUGUAGGCGGUUUGUCGCGUCUGCUGCGAAAAUCCGGGGCUCAACCCCGGACUUGCAGUGGGUACGGGCAGACUAGAGUGUGGUAGGGGAGACUGGAAUUCCUGGUGUAGCGGUGAAAUGCGCAGAUAUCAGGAGGAACACCGAUGGCGAAGGCAGGUCUCUGGGCCUGUACUGACGUGAGGAGCGAAAGCGUGGGGAGCGAACAGG
rnacentral:rRNA from 1 species